GACGAACGCUGGCGGCGUGCUUAACACAUGCAAGUCGAACGAAGAGCGACGGAAGCUUGCUUCUAUCAAUCUUAGUGGCGAACGGGUGAGUAACGCGUAAUCAACCUGCCCUUCAGAGGGGGACAACAGUUGGAAACGACUGCUAAUACCGCAUACGAUCUAAUCUCGGCAUCGAGGAUGGAUGAAAGGUGGCCUCUACAUGUAAGCUAUCACUGAAGGAGGGGAUUGCGUCUGAUUAGCUAGUUGGAGGGGUAACGGCCCACCAAGGCGAUGAUCAGUAGCCGGUCUGAGAGGAUGAACGGCCACAUUGGGACUGAGACACGGCCCAGACUCCUACGGGAGGCAGCAGUGGGGAAUCUUCCGCAAUGGACGAAAGUCUGACGGAGCAACGCCGCGUGAGUGAUGACGGCCUUCGGGUUGUAAAGCUCUGUUAAUCGGGACGAAAGGCCUUCUUGCGAAUAGUGAGAAGGAUUGACGGUACCGGAAGAGAAAGCCACGACUAACUACGUG
rnacentral:rRNA from 1 species